ACCAGGUACGGCGGCCAUUUCUGUCGGUCACUAGUGUAGCGAUGUUUUUAUCUCAACACACAUUUAAUGACCAAUAAGAUGAAGAAACAUAAUCCCACCUGCUACGAGGCCUCGGAGGCGACUGAUGCGGGAACGGGAUGCGAGCGAACGUGUUUCGGACAAUCCCCUCAAACUCAAAACUCCCAACGACUUGGUUGCCAUCUUGCGCUGCCGAGCGUCGACACAAAGACCGGAGAUUAACGACCGGGUACGAGUGCGCACGAAGUUAUGGCCACACUGAAAAGAUACUGAGUAGUCUAUCGACGCCGCAUAGCACCGCAUAGUGAGCACGCUUUUUCGUGAUGUACACAAGAACGCUUGAGUGUUGGUUCUUGUAUUUAUAUUGAAGAAGAACAUUGCUAUAGCUACCAUCCAAAGAGGAAGAAAAGCUUACUAAGUAACGAAACAGGAUGAGAAAGGAACACCAGAUAUAAUACUGUACGGAUUCUAUUCUAUCGGACCCGCUCUUCGAUUAUUUUACUUUUCACGAGAAAUAACUAUUUAAAUCGACUUUCGCAUCGUCAAACACCAUCAUCGUCGUGAAAUCGAGUCUAAAAAGCAAAGAGACAGAGACGAAAAGGCAGAUGAGACAACGAGGGUGGAUCCCAUAAUUCACCCCAAUAUAUCUGGCUAUCCUUCUCUUUACCAAGGUUUAACCGUCCCGAGCUCCUCGUAUCGCUUCUCUAGUUGGGUAAAGCAAUACCAAAGUGUAAUAAGCGAAUACAUCAGUAACGAAACAUAAGAUAAACACAUGUGGACUAAAAGCUCUUACUGGGGAAAUAUCGGUGUGAAGCUUAGACACAAGAUAAGAGAGU